rnacentral:rRNA from 1 species
UGCCAGCAGCCGCGGUAAUACGGAAGGUGCAAGCGUUGUUCGGAUUGACUGGGCGUAAAGAGCACGUAGGCGGGUUCGUAAGUCGGAUGUGAAAGCCCUGGGCUUAACCUAGGAAUAGCAUACGAAACUGCGAAUCUUGAAUGCUUAAGAGGUUGGUAGAAUUCCUGGUGUAGGAGUGAAAUCCGUAGAUAUCAGGAGGAAUAUCGGAGGCGAAGGCGACCAACUGGUGAUGCAUUGACGCUGAGGUGCGAAAGCGUGGGGAGCGAACAGGAUUAGAUA